CUCAGCGCAGCUGUUUGGGAUGUAUUAAGGGGCAGAGGAGCGGUUGGUGCCAUUCAGCAGCUGGAAGUGCAACAGUGAAAGCCCGGAGUUGAAGAGAGAAAACGUACAGCCACAUUGGGAGGCACAUCAGGGAGAAACCCGUAGAAGCCAAAAAGACACGAAUCAGUGAGCACCGCAGCAAUAUACGGACAGGUGAGACAAGAAAUAUGGUUUCUGUUCAUUUUGUACUGGACAUCCUAUUAGUUCUCUGAGAUACGUUGCAAUAGAAAUGGUCAAGAUGUUAUGCAGGGGGAGGGGACAUUGAGAGGAAACUUCUUCAAAGCGAUUCUUUCUGGAUCCACAGGCUCAACAAACUGUCUCCUCUUGGCCUUAACAAGGAAUUUGACUUCAAACCGUUUUUAUAGUUUCAAUAUGUCCAAAUUGUUUUUUUGUUUUUAAAAAUCCUAAUUGAAUAUUUUAGGUAUGUUACUGUAAAUAUUGAUCACAUUCCUUGUGUAUGUAUCACGCCCUGCUCUGUUUCACCUGUCUUGUGCUUGUCUCCACCCCCCACCAGGUGUCUCCCAUUUGUCCCCAUUAUCCCCUGUGUAUUUAUACCUGUGUUUUCUGUUUGUCUUUUGCCAGUUCGUCUUGUCCCGUCAAGUAUUACCAGCGUGUUUUCCCGGUUUCGAGUCUUUCUAGUUAUUGUUUUCUAGUCUUCCCGGUUCUGACCAUUCUGCCUGCCUGCCGUUCUGUACCUCAUUGACUCUGCCCUGGACUACUGACCUCUGCCUGCCCUGACCCUGAGUCUGCUUACCAUUCUGUACCUCAUUGACUCUGCCCUGGACUACUGACCUCUGCCUGCCCUGACCCUGAGUCUGCUUACCAUUCUGUACCUCUUUGACUCUGCCCUGGAUUAUUGACCUCUGCCUGCCCUCGACCUGCCCUGCCCUGGCCUGGCCUGUCCCCUUGUAUAAUAAAUAUUAUGAGAACUGUACUCUCCGCCUCCUCCUCUGCAUCUGGGUCAUAUCCUGAGUCGUGAUAGUGUGAUCAUAUAUUUUGAUACAUCGAAUGUGUUAUACAUGAUUUUUUUUUUUUUUAACCUAAUGUUUCAGGAAGUGAUGUCACUGAGCACUGCCCCUAUAUAUAGGACCUUCUACACCCACUUGGGAUGUUGAUGCCUGAUGAGGACCUAAGGGUCGAAACGUAGUUAUAAAUAAAUAUCACCAGGGAGCAGCAGUGAGCAGCGUUUCCCUUUCUGUUUUUCAGGAGUUUGGCUACAACUCCAGCACCUUUGGAAAGUACCUGGAUGUGCAGAUGUUCUUCAGCUUUUUGACUUUAAAACAGUGAAAGAGUUUAAUGGCUGUGAUAGGAGAAAACAGAGGAUGGAUCAACAAUAUUGUUGUUACUAAACAAAAUGAACCUAAAUGACAGAGUGAAAAAAAGGAAGCCAAAUAUACACUGGAGUUGCUUAUCAAGACGAAAUUGGACGUUCUUGAGUGGCCUAGUUACAGUUUGGACUUAAAUCGUCUGGAAAAUCUAUGGCAAGACCUGAAAAUGUUUGUCUAGCAAUGAUCAACAACCGACUUGACAGAGCUUAAAGAAUAAAACAAAUAAUAAAUGUUGUACAAUCCAGGUGUGCAAAGCUCAUAAAGACUCAUAGCUGUAAUCACAGCUAAAGGUGAUUCUAACAUGUAUUGACUCAGGGGGUUGAAUACUAUAUUAGUGUUUUUUUAACUUUUCAUAUUUAUUUUACAAAUGUUAGAAACAUGACAAUUCAAUCAAUUGCAAUCCCACUUUGCAACACAACAAAAUGUUUAAAAAGGCGAGGGAUAUACCUGAAGGCACUGUAUACUGUAUGUCAAAAUACAAUGUUUCAGGAAAUGUGUUGUUCCAUUUUCACACAGACUAAUGUAUCAAUAUUGAGAUAUGAGGCAGGUAUGACACAUACCUUGAAUUACACAGUAGGCUAUGUACUGUAUAAAAACACAUAUACAGUAUAUGGGGGUUUACACAGUAGGCUAUGUACUGUAUAAAAACACAUAUACAGUAUAUGGGGGUUUACACAGUAGGCUAUGUACAUUUACAUUUACAUUUAAGUCAUUUAGCAGACGCUCUUAUCCAGAGCGACUUACAAAUUGGUGCAAACACCUAUGACAACCAGUGGAACAGCCACUUGCAUCUAAAUCUUGUUGGGGGGGGGUUAGUAUAAAAACACAUAUACAGUAUAUGGGGGUUUACACAGUAGGCUAUGUACUGUAUAAAAACACAUAUACAGUAUAUGGGGGUUUACACAGUAGGCUAUGUACUGUAUAAAAACACAUAUACAGUAUAUGGGGGUUUACACAGUAGGCUAUGUACUGUAUAAAAACACAUAUACAGUAAAUGGGGGUUUACACAGUAGGCUAUGUACUGUAUAAAAACACAUAUACAGUAUAUGGGGGUUUACACAGUAGGCUAUGUACUGUAUAAAAACACAUAUACAGUAUAUGGGGGUUUACACAGUAGGCUAUGUACUGUAUAAAAACACAUAUACAGUAAAUGGGGGUUUACACAGUAGGCUAUGUACUGUAUAACAACACAUAUACAGUAUAUGGGGGUUUACACAGUAGGCUAUGUACUGUAUAAAAACACAUAUACAGUAAAUGGGGGUUUACACAGUAGGCUAUGUACUGUAUAAAAACACAUAUACAGUAAAUGGGGGUUUACACAGUAGGCUAUGUACUGUAUAAAAACACAUAUACAGUAAAUGGGGGUUUACACAGUAGGCUAUGUACUGUAUAAAAACACAUAUACAGUAAAUGGGGGUUUACACAGUAGGCUAUGUACUGUAUAAAAACACAUAUACAGUAAAUGGGGGUUUACACAGUAGGCUAUGUACUGUAUAAAAACACAUAUACAGUAAAUGGGGGUUUACACAGUAGGCUAUGUACUGUAUAAAAACACAUAUACAGUAAAUGGGGGUUUACACAGUAGGCUAUGUACUGUAUAAAAACACAUAUACAGUAAAUGGGGGUUUACACAGUAGGCUAUGUACUAUAUAAAACACAUAUACAGUAAAUGGGGUUUACACAGUAGGCUAUGCACUAUAUAAAAACACAUAUACAGUAAAUGGGGGUUUACACAGUAGGCUAUGUACUGUAUAAAAACACAUACAGUAAAUGGGGGUUUACACAGUAGGCUAUUUACUGUAUAAAAACACAUAUACAGUAAAUGGGGGUUUACACAGUAGGCUAUGCACUAUAUAAAAACACAUAUACAGUAAAUGGGGGUUUACACAGUAGGCUAUGUACUGUAUAAAAACACAUAUACAGUAAAUGGGGGUUUACACAGUAGGCUAUGUACUGUAUAAAAACACAUAUACAGUAAAUGGGGGUUUACACAGUAGGCUAUGUACUGUAUAAAAACACAUAUACAGUAAAUGGGGGUUUACACAGUAGGCUAUGUACUAUAUAAAACACAUAUACAGUAAAUGGGGUUUACACAGUAGGCUAUGCACUAUAUAAAAACACAUAUACAGUAAAUGGGGGUUUACACAGUAGGCUAUGUACUGUAUAAAAACACAUAUACAGUAAAUGGGGGUUUACACAGUAGGCUAUGUACUGUAUAAAAACACAUAAACAGUCCCCUUUGUAUGUAUUUUGACAGUUCUAUUUGGCUAUAUACUAUACCAGUAUUUUGGAUUUGAGAUUAAAUCACAUUCAGUGACAGUACAGAAUGUCACCUUUUAUUUGAGUAUAUGUUUCAUAUAUCUUGUCCCCCCAUUUGAAGAUGUCAUAAGUAUUUGGACAUAUUUCACCUCAAAUGAAACAUUUCAUCUCAAAUCCAAAAUGCUGGAGUAUAGAGCCAAAUUAAAAAUGUUAGAACUA